GCCACUUGGCUGCCGAGACUGAAAACUAAGUCCCAUCCUAGGCACUCAAGGGGUAGAAGGAGAGAACCGACUCCAACAAGCUGACCCCUGACCUCCACGUGUGUGCCGUGGUACUGGUAUACAUGCAAAUAAUAACUGAAGGGACACUAGCCCGCUGGAGCAUGUGGCUCUGGCAGGCCUUGCCCUUUGCCCCCUUCCCUCUGCCUUGCUAAAAGCCAUUAGAUUACAUCCUCCUGGGGCUCACUGCCAAGGUCCAGCUGGCAAAGUAUUAAGUCCAUCAAUCAAAAGUCCUCUUUGGCUCACCGAAUUAACAUGGCCAAUUAAAGUUAAACACCUUGUUCUAACACUGUGGUGGUUUGAAAGAAAACGGCCUCCAAAGGGAGUGGCAUUAUUAGGAGGUGUGGCCUUGUUGGGGUGGGUGUGGCCUUGGUUGGAGUGGUGGUUUUAUUGGAGGAAGUGUCACCAUGGAGGUGGGGUUUGAGGUCUCAUAUCAGCUCAAACCACUCUCAGUGCCUCAGAUCACUUCCUGUUGCCUGCAGUCAAGAUGUAAGACACUUGGUCACUUCUCCAGCACCACGUCUGCCUGCACGCCACCAUGUUGCACCGUGAGGAUAAUAAACUAAGCCUCUGAAAAUACCCCGCUUCUGAGAAAUCCCACCAUCAGUGGCUCCUCCUCCUGAGAUGCUCAAGACUCCUACAGGCUACUUAAAACCCGGCCCGUGGACCCACCAAGUGCUCUCUUUCCUGACUACCAGAGAGCCACCGGGGAGUGCCCUGCUUUCCUUUGCUCUGUUUAUUAAAUCUUGAUUAAUUAAUUCAGUUUGAUUUGGCUUAUUACUUCAGUGGAGGCACCCAAUAACCAGGGACCAAAUACUUCUCACCCCCUAAACUAGCUCUGCCAGCACUUAGGAAGAUCAUGAGUGCAAGGUCAUCCUGGUCUACAUCAGAGACCCUGUUCCAAACACACAAACAGGAGUCAGCGGGACAGCUCAGCGGGCAGAGAUGCAUGAGGUGUCUUAUCCAGCAGCAUCUCCAGAAACAGCAAAAGACCUGGUUCUUAAGAAUCUCCUGAGUCUGUAACAACAACCCAGCCGCAAAACCACCAGUCAACCCAGUCUAUCCCGCCUGCAAGACGUGCUGGGGCAAUGGCAGCCCAGAACUUGUGGGAGCGGCCAACCAAUAGCUGGUCUAACUUGGGGCCCACACCAGGACAGGAAGCCUAUGCUCCACACAAAAAGGAACUGGAGGUUGGAUAGCACAGAGACCUAGGAUAGAACCAAACACAACUGACAAAAAAAAAAAAAAAAAAAGUCAAUGAAA